rnacentral:snRNA from 1 species
GGAUGUGAGAGUGAUCUGGCUGCUACAUCUAUCACCCCAUUGAUCGCCAGGGUUGAUUCGGCUGAUCUGGCUGGCUGGGCAGGUGUCCCCUUCCUCCCUCACCAUUCCAUGUGCAUCCCUCCAGAAGCUGCAUGCUCAGUAGAGGACGACCUUCCCUGAAUAGAAGAGGACUGGUCUUUGUUCAAGGGUAUAUGAGUAGCUGUGCUCCCCUGCAAGAACCUCCAAACAAACUCUCAAGGUUCAUUGACAAUUUCUUAUAGCAUAUUUUAAUACAUUAUUUUACAUUGACAGACUCCUCU